rnacentral:rRNA from 1 species
UACAGAGGUGCCAAGCGUUAGGCGGAAUCACUGGGCUUAAAGCGCGCGUAGGCGGAUGUUUAAGUGUCUUGUGAAAUCCCACGGCUCAACCGUGGAACUGCUGGGCAUACUGGACAUCUCGAGGCACUCAGGGGCGAGCGGAACAAGUGGUGGAGCGGUGAAAUGCGUAGAUAUCGGGAGGAAUACCAGUGGCGAAGGCGGCUCUCUGGGACGGUACUGACGCUGAGACGCGAAAGCGUGGGGAGCGAACAGG